rnacentral:rRNA from 1 species
UGGGGAAUUUUGGACAAUGGGGGAAACCCUGAUCCAGCCAUCCCGCGUGUGCGAUGAAGGCCUUCGGGUUGUAAAGCACUUUUGGCAGGAAAGAAACGUCAUGGGUUAAUACCCCGUGAAACUGACGGUACCUGCAGAAUAAGCACCGGCUAACUACGUGCCAGCAGCCGCGGUAAUACGUAGGGUGCAAGCGUUAAUCGGAAUUACUGGGCGUAAAGCGUGCGCAGGCGGUUUGGAAAGAAAGAUGUGAAAUCCCAGAGCUCAACUUUGGAACUGCAUUUUUAACUACCGGGCUAGAGUGUGUCAGAGGGAGGUGGAAUUCCGCGUGUAGCAGUGAAAUGCGUAGAUAUGCGGAGGAACACCGAUGGCGAAGGCAGCCUCCUGGGAUAACACUGACGCUCAUGCACGAAAGCGUGGGGAGCAAACAGG